CCUCUUCUGCUCUCCCAAAGAACGUGCAAAAUGAAAUUACUAUGACCUGAAAAAUAAAGAGAGCAUUGUAAUAGGCAGACUGGCAACCUUAUGAAGGGUUGAGGUUUGGCUUCUCCUUGCCAGCAGGACAGGCUUUUAUUUUCUUUCAGGGACUAAAAGAAUAGAGCUUUCGCUCCAGCUGCUGUUUGAGGCAAAGUGACUUCCUGCUACAGAGAAAAAAGCAGGUCUGUGAAGACUCACCAAUCUGUGGACUCAGAUUUUGAUGAAAAAUAAAUAAUACUGCAUUGCAGAGUUUUGCGACUGUCAAAAUAAUUCUAGGCUUUUGUUUUAUUUUAACUUUAUAUAUUUCUAGGGUUUGUUGUUUCCAUUCACAGCAAGGCCAUAAAACGUCUGCAAAUAUCACCAUCUGCCAGUGUGAUAUUCAGGAGCUGCUGUGUAAAUCAAAACAACAGUAGAAGCAGGCCGGAUACUACUUUGUUGCUACG
rnacentral:lncRNA from 1 species